rnacentral:rRNA from 1 species
GAUGAACGCUAGCGGGAGGCUUAACACAUGCAAGUCGAGGGGCAGCACGGGGUAGCAAUACUCUGGUGGCGACCGGCGCACGGGUGAGUAACACGUAUGCAACUUACCCUGUACUGGAGGAUAACCCGGCGAACUUCGGACUAAUACUCCAUGAUGAUAUUGAGGGGCAUCCUUUGAUAUUUAAAGCUCAGGCGGUACGGGAUGGGCAUGCGGAACAUUAGCUAGUUGGCAGGGUAACGGCCUACCAAGGCUACGAUGUUUAGGGGACCUGAGAGGGUGAUCCCCCACACUGGUACUGAGACACGGACCAGACUCCUACGGGAGGCAGCAGGGAGGAAUAUUGGUCAAUGGGCGCAAGCCUGAACCAGCCAUCCCGCGUGCAGGAAGACGGCGCUAUGCGUUGUAAACUGCUUUUCCAGGGGGUGAAACUCUCGUACGAGUACGGGAUUGACGGUACCCUGGGAAUAAGCAUCGGCUAACUCCGUGCCAGCCGCCGCAGUAAGAC